GCCCUAAAUGACUUGGGGCUUAGCAAACUAAAACUCUGAGGAGUUUUGUUUGCUGCCCCUACACCUGCGGAGCGAAGCACCAGGCUCUUUGCAGCUCGGGCUCUUCAGGAAGCCCUGCAGGCAGCCUGGCAGCAGCCUGGGAAGGCAAGCUCCACCCAAGAAAAGCGGCGAGCCUGAUCUUUUUUUCCUGCCUGGAGCCUGCCUGCCUGCCUGAGCUGUGCAGGGGCCCGGUGCUUCCUUUCACAGCUGUAGUGCCCCCAUGGGACCACCCGAGCUGGGUGCCUGUGGGUGGGUGCCACCUGGGUGGGGGCCACAACUGCUGUGAAGGGAAGCACUAGCCCCCACCCCCCGGAGCCCAGGAACCACUCUGUCCACCAGCAGCUCACCCUCCCCACCGCAAGAGAGGCGGAGGUGCCAGCUAACUCAUCCCUCUGAACUUCUGGGAGUUAUGAGGGAGAGUGACAUCUUACUGGAACAGCACUCGUAUUUCCUCAUUGUGCAUGUGGAUCCCAGUUCUACUCAAAUGCCAUUUGUGCUGGCCCUUGCCCAUGAUUUCAGUCUGCUUCCCAGCAAACCCCACAGGUAUCUUGCCAAUGAAAGAACCAGUCCUGGCAACUCACAACUUUCAAAGCAAUAUUCAGUUUUAGAGGAACUAUCACUGCCAUGCGACUCAAGAGGAAUUUCGUAAACUUCUCAGCUUCACAGUGCAUUUUAAAUAGACAACUUUUAGAAAAGGGCUGGCAAUAUUCUGCGAGAAGGGAAAUUUUUCAAGAUAAUAGUAGCAGUUCUUGGAUCCAGGCUCAUCCCAUUAAAAAGGAUCAUUUUGAAAGGAAAGACAUAUGACCAGACACCUGUGGUAAAACAGUUUCUCAUUGACUUCCCUGUCUCGUUUCCUUCCACCCUUUAAAGAGAUAACUUUAAAGCUGUGGCUGAAAAAAAAAACCCCAAACAAGCAAACAAUAACAAUAAAACUUCACCAGUGAAA